GCAGCCAUCCAUUCAAAGAGUGCGUAACAGCUCACUGGUCGAGUGGACAUGCGCCGACAAUACACGGGGCUAAGCUGGACACCGAAGCGGCGGGAUUUUAAUUCAUUAGAAUCGGUAGGGGAGCUUCCCAUGGGCGGAGAAGCCGGAGGGCGACCGACGGUGGAGCGCAUGGGAGUGAGAAUGCUGGCAUGAGUAGCGAGAGACGAGAGAGUAACUCGUCCGCCGUGAACCCGAGGUUUCCUGGGCAAGGCUAAUCCUCCCAGGGUCAGUCGGGGGCUAAGGCGAGGCCGGGAGGCGUAGCCGACGCGCAGCAGGCAGACAUUCCUGCACCGCGCACGCGGCGCUACGACCGACGGGGCGACGGAUGGGGGUGGCUCGGCGGGGUUCUGGACGUCCCCGUGAUGGAGCGCGGCCCGCGGACCAGGGAAAUCCGGUCCGCACACAGGGCGAGGCUCCGGACGAAGCGACUGAGCGAAGCGAGUGAGCCCGAGGUCCCUAGAAAAACCCCUAGGCAGGCGCGUGCGCGCCCGUACCGCAAACCGACACAGGUGGGUGGGUAGAACAUACCGAGGCGAUCGGGUCAACCAUGGUCAAGGAACUCGGCACAAUGGCCCCGUAACUUCGGGAGAAGGGGUGCCCGCGCGUACGUGAACCGGCUCGCCCGGGGAGCGGAGGCGGGCCGCAGUGGAGAGGCCCAAGCGACUGUUUACCAAAAACACAGGACUCUGCAGAAGCCGCAAGGCGACGUAUAGGGUCUGACGCCUGCCCGGUGCCGGAAGGUCACGCGGAGGAGUUAGCCGAUUCGGCGAAGCCCCGAAGCCAAGCCCCGGUAAACGGCGGCCGUAACUAUAACGGUCCUAAGGUAGCGAAAUUCCUUGUCGGGUAAGUUCCGACCUGCACGAAAGGCGCAACGACUUGGGCGCUGUCUCGACCAUGGACCCGGUGAAAUUGCACUGGUCGUGAAGAUGCGACUUACCCGCGGAAGGACGGAAAGACCCCGUGAACCUUCACUGCAGCUUGGCAUUGGCCGCUGGUCCCGCGUGUAGAGGAUAGGCAGGAGGCACAGAUCCGGAGGCGCCAGCCCCCGGGGAGCCGCCCUUGGAAUACUGCCCUCGCGCGACCGGCGUCCUAACCCGAGGCCGUCAACCGGCUCGGGGACCGUGCCAGGCGGGCAGUUUGACUGGGGCGGUCGCCUCCUAAAGGGUAACGGAGGCGCGCGAAGGUCCGCUCGGGACGGUCGGCAACCGUCCUUUUGAAUGCAAGAGUACAAGCGGGCUUGACUGCGAGGCCCACAAGCCGAGCAGGUGCGAAAGCAGGCUCUAGUGAUCCGGCGGCCCCGAGUGGGUGGGCCGUCGCUCAACGGAUAAAAGGUACUCCGGGGAUAACAGGCUGAUCUUGCCCAAGAGUCCACAUCGACGGCAAGGUUUGGCACCUCGAUGUCGGCUCAUCGCAUCCUGGGGCUGUAGCAGGUCCCAAGGGUUGGGCUGUUCGCCCAUUAAAGCGGUACGCGAGCUGGGUUCAG
rnacentral:rRNA from 1 species